GGACUACUAGGGUAUCUAAUCCCGUUCGCUCCCCUGGCUUUCGCGCCUCAGCGUCAGCAGGGGUCCAGCGGACCGCUUUCGCCACCGGCGUUCCUUCCGAUAUCAACGCAUUUCACCGCUCCACCGGAAGUUCCGUCCGCCCCUACCCCCCUCGAGUCCGCCAGUAUCCCGGGCCCUUUUCCGGUUGGGCCGAAAGAUUUCACCCGAGACUGGGCGGACCGCCUACGCGCCCUUUAAGCCCAGUGAUUCCGAACAACGUUCGCACGGUUCGUCUUACCGCGGCUGCUGGCAC
rnacentral:rRNA from 3 species